AGUUAUGAUCCAAAACCUUUCCCCUCUUCCCAAGAACAAAAUCUAAGUUUACCUCUCAAGAAUCAAGAAGUUAAGCUCCGAAUUCAAAGUUCUCCACAAGGAUUCUUUUAAUCAAGCUUGAAGGUCCAAUCUUUCAACAAUUUCAUCACCAUUAAGUUUCUUGGGACCAAUCAUGGUACCUGAAGAGGCGCUGAAAUUAGAAAGGAGCGAAUGUAUGUGAAAAGGCAGCCCAGUGCACUAAAACUCCUGCUACGUGCGGAAUUUAGUAAAGGAUCGGACCAUAAGGGUCUAUGUGCUAAAAUAGGUGAAGGAUUGAAAGCAUCGGAGGAGGAGCCAAACCAUAGACAGAUCAAAAUCAAGUAAUGGAGGAGCUUAAGGUGAAAGAGUAAGCAAAUGAAUUCGAAGUCAACUAGGAGCUCAAGAUAAUGCAUGUGUCAAAAAUGAGGUAACAACAGGUAUAUAUAGUUAUCAUUAAGAUGUUUCUAGACGUGGUGGGAAUUGAUGCAUUGAAGCAAAUGUAAUGUAUCGUGAUUUUGUAUUAAAGCACUUUUAAGGUCAUUUUAGAGUUCUUCUCGGUGGAAUGUUUGCAGUAGGGAAAUGCAUAAAAGAAAGAAGAGAGUACAUAUGGGUGGGAGAUAUGGUUGAGUUCAUUUCUUCAAAGUCAAAAGACUAUACUAGCUUCUGUUAUUUUGGCUCUUUAAAUGUUUGUAAGUAAAUUAAUUCUCUCAAAAAAUUGUAUGCAUAUAGCCUAUAGGAGUAAAAGCAUGUAUUAAGAUUUAAUUACAAGUUUGUCAUUUGCCAAUGUAAUUUUAAAUAUUAUUGUGGCUUUGCUAUGUAAUGCGGCAGAUUCAUAUUGGUGAGUAUUAAUUAUAAUGAAAGCUAAUAAAUGA